CAAUAGCGUAUACUAAAGUUGUUGCAGUUAAAAAGCUCGUAGUUGGAUUUCGGGGCAGCCUGGCUGGUCCGCCGCAAGGCGAGUACUGGUCAGCCGCCCUUCCUCUCGAAAGCCCCGACUGCUCUUCGUUGCAGUGGUCGGGUAGUUCGGGACGUUUACUUUGAAAAAAUUAGAGUGUUCAAGGCAGGCCUACGCCUGAAUACAUUAGCAUGGAAUAAUGGAAGAGGACCUCGGUCCUAUUUUGUUGGUUUCCAGGGCCGAAGUAAUGAUUAAGAGGGACAGUUGGGGGCAUUCGUAUUUAAUUGUCAGAGGUGAAAUUCUCGGAUUUAUGAAAGACGAACAACUGCGAAAGCAUUUGCCAAGGAUGUUUUCAUUAA
rnacentral:rRNA from 1 species